rnacentral:rRNA from 1 species
UGGGGAAUCUUCCGCAAUGGACGAAAGUCUGACGGAGCAACGCCGCGUGAGUGAAGAAGGCCUUCGGGUCGUAAAGCUCUGUUGUCAGGGAAGAAAGGUACUUUUGUGAAUAAUGGGAGUAAAUGACGGUAGCGUGAGAAGAAGCCCCGGCUAACUUCGUGCCAGCAGCCGCGGUAAUACGAAGGGGGCAAGCGUUGUUCGGAAUUACUGGGCGUAAAGCGCACGCAGGCGGCGUGACGCGUCAGAAGUGAAAUCCCCGGGCUCAACCUGGGAACUGCUUUUGAAACGGUCAUGCUUGAAUCAUGGAGAGGGUAGCGGAAUUCCGAGUGUAGAGGUGAAAUUCGUAGAUAUUAGGAGGAACACCAGUGGCGAAGGCGGCUUUCUGGACUGUAACUGACGCUGAGGUGCGAAAGCCAGGGGAGCGAACG